AGAGCACCCAGCUAAGGGAAGAGAUCUCGAGCCCAGGAAACACAGCCACAUUAUGAAUUGUUGGGCACCAGAGCAUCACUCCUGAGCAAGGUUUCUCUAAGUGCAGUGGCUGAUGGAUGGAACAGGAUGGUCUCACAGUUUCCCCACAGUCAGGACAUUCUCAUCUGUCUCCCUUCUGGAUUCUCUAGUGCCUGCCAUGGGGCUGAACCUGCAAAAUGCCUCGGAUAAAACGCCAAGCAGUGAGACAUGACACAGAGGAGACCAGGCUUCAUCAGACCUGCUGCUGGAGGAAUGAAUUUCCUGAGCAGGGGACAGACAAUGUGUGCUCAGCAGGUGACCACCACCUUGGGCCCAUCUCUGCCCUGUGCUCCAGCUGCCAGGCCCAAACCAAAGCUGGGUGAAGCCAUGGAGAGGCUCCUUGUCCACAGAAUGUGACUCAGCCCCUUGGAAAGUGAGCUCUGGACCAAAGUGAGACAUCAGGGCUGUUUCCGUGGUCUUGUCCAUGGUCACAGACCCUGAGCCAGGUAAACGCCCAUUUUCACUCCUCUGGUUCCAUCCUUUCCACACCCUGUCCCUGAGGGGUUGCAGGGUAAACCCAAAUUCACCCACUUUAGGCUGGGGUGCUCCAUAGCCCUGGGCCCAGAGGACAGCACAGAGCUGAGGCGCCACAGGUGGCACCCACAAAGCUCCCCUGGCCACAGGACACAGCUCUGAGGUGACACUCCUGGCUGGCACCUCUGCCCAGACAUGCACUGCACCAGCCACUGUGACAGCCUGGCGGCCAUGUGGCAUUGUAAUGGGAUUUGCUCCGUGUCUAUAAACUGUUAUCCUAAAUAUCAUCCCAAAUCCUUUGAUGCCCCGUGACAACCUGUCUCUUUAAAUCUUUUCCCCCCUCCUGACUCAAGCAGCGUGCUCUGAAAUCAUUGGGAACUCCUCGUAUCCGCCAUAUAAUUGGAUUAUAUUUUAUAUGUCUGCUAAAAUAAUGAUAUAGCUGCAUCUUACUCUGACAAUGAAGGGACUGGGCCGGGGCAG
rnacentral:lncRNA from 1 species